rnacentral:rRNA from 1 species
UACGGAGGGUGCAAGCGUUGUCCGGAUUUAUUGGGUUUAAAGGGUGCGUAGGCGGUUUUUUAAGUCAGUGGUGAAAUCCUGCAGCUCAACUGUAGAACCACCAUUGAUACUGAAAAACUUGAGUACAGACGAGGUAGGCGGAAUUUAUGGUGUAGCGGUGAAAUGCAUAGAUACCAUAAAGAACACCUAUUGCGAAGGCAGCUUACUAGGCUGUAACUGACGCUGAGGCACGAAAGCGUGGGGAUCAAACAGG